rnacentral:rRNA from 1 species
UACGGAGGGUGCAAGCGUUAUCCGGAUUCACUGGGUUUAAAGGGUGCGUAGGCGGGCAGGUAAGUCAGAGGUGAAAUCUCCGGCUUAACCCGGAAACUGCCUUUGAUACUAUCGGUCUUGAAUAUGGUGGAGGUAAGCGGAAUAUGUCAUGUAGCGGUGAAAUGCUUAGAGAUGACAUAGAACACCCAUUGCGAAAGGCAGCUUACUACGCCUAUAUUGACGCUGAGGCACG